rnacentral:rRNA from 1 species
CCGAAACCCGGUGAUCUAGCCAUGGGCAGGUUGAAGGUUGGGUAACACUAACUGGAGGACCGAACCGACUAAUGUUGAAAAAUUAGCGGAUGACCUGUGGCUGGGGGUGAAAGGCCAAUCAAACCGGGAGAUAGCUGGUUCUCCCCGAAAGCUAUUUAGGUAGCGCCUCGUGAAUUCAUCUCCGGGGGUAGAGCACUGUUUCGGCUAGGGGGCCAUCCCGGCUUACCAACCCGAUGCAAACUGCGAAUACCGGAGAAUGUUAUCACGGGAGACACACGGCGGGUGCUAACGUCCGUCGUGAAGAGGGAAACAACCCAGACCGCCAGCUAAGGUCCCAAAGUCAUGGUUAAGUGGGAAACGAUGUGGGAAGGCCCAGACAGCCAGGAUGUUGGCUUAGAAGCAGCCAUCAUUUAAAGAAAGCGUAAUAGCUCACUGGUCGAGUCGGCCUGCGCGGAAGAUGUAACGGGGCUAAACCAUGCACCGAAGCUGCGGCAGCGACAC